UACGGGGGGGGCAAGCGUUGUUCGGAAUUACUGGGCGGAAAGGGCGCGUAGGCGGUUCGCUAAGUUGGAUGUGAAAACUCUGGGCUCAACCCAGAGCCUGCAUCCAAAACUGGCGGGCUAGAGUUCUGGAGGGGGUAGCGGAAUUCCUGGUGUAGCGGUGAAAUGCGUAGAUAUCAGGAGGAACACCGGUGGCGAAGGCGGCUACCGGGACAGAAACUGACGCUGAGGCGCGAAAGCUAGGGGAGCAAACAGG
rnacentral:rRNA from 1 species